rnacentral:tRNA from 1 species
AUCUGUGCCUGAAAGUUA